GGAGGGAGGGGGGGGCGGUUAGGAAGUUAGCGGAUGCGGGCGGGAGGGGGUCUCCGCCUGCGGGCUCCCCAUCCCGCGGAGCCGUGGCGCACCCGAGGGACGGUCGCCGCGGGGAGGGGUCGGCGCGGGGCGCCCCUCUCCCGCGCUCCCCCACCCCCCAUCGCCCCGCGGCGCCCCCGCGCGCCCUCGCGGGUUCCUAGGCGCUCUCCGAGUCGCCGGUGAAAGCCAACCUCACGAGACACGUCUCUCCUGGCAGGUCUACAGAAUUAGAACGUCGCAGCUGUUGUGGCAAGAACUUCGCAGCCCCGCUCCUCGGGCAGAGAGAAGCCUCUGUUCGCUCACCACGGCUCCCUCUUCCCCUCUCCGCGGCGCUUUCGCUUGGAAACGUGUUUCUCCUUGACGCCGACCACCCACACCCCCCCCCCCGCAACCUCCCCCCCCGCACCCCCAGCGCGCCUUUGCUCGAAAUGGUUACUCCUUUUAGAAAUUGGAAAAUCAAUACUAGUUUAGCUUCUUCCGUGAGAUGAUGCACCCGCUAACCUUACAGGGAGGGAAACAGCCGAAGGCACAGCUCCAGCCUCUGGAGAAUUUUACAUAGAAAUUCACAAUGAAUGAUGCUCCGGAGCGCGGCGGAAAUAUACUUCGGUUAGUGGCUUUGCUGCAAGCCCAAGACACACCUCUCAGCUACGCCUUCGCUGUUUGGUGGUAGUUGAGGUUUUUUGGUUCGAGGAUUGAUCAGAAGCUCGCGCUGUGGGUGUUUAUUCUUCCUGUUUUCUUAAACCUCCUCUUGGAUGGUUUCCUGUUAGUUUUCAGAUGUCAUUUGCAGCACAGACAGAUUUCAUAUGCCUCGUGCAGAUUGUCUUCAAAGUUCUAGUUUAAAGAGCAUUAUGUAAGCCUCCCUCUAUUUACAUAAGAGCUUUAACUCAAACCUCUCAGAAAACCAUUUAUUACCAACUGAAACCUAUCCAGGGGAGCGGCAUAACCGACCUGUAUCUUUAUGACACUCGCAAGAAACAGCAGUAGUUCAUUCAUUUUGAAGAAAGAGAAAAGUAGAUGUAACAAAGAAUUGGAGUAUUUUGCAUUUUUAUUCAGCUCGGUUUUAUAUCAUUUAGGCACUGUUCUUAGGCUUCAGGCAGCGCCAGUAUUUAUAGGAUACGCUUUUUUUCUCUCCAAGGUCAGUAUUUAGGCAAGAGAGCUGGCCCUGUCCCCUCAAGUUUAAUCCUAAAUGUGAGACCAAAGAUCUUUUAGUGAGUAGAACCAAUUAAGUACAAAUUAUACUAAGUCCUAAAUUACUAAAAGGAUUCAUGAAUACAUGAUCACCGUAAACAGAAGUCAAGCAAUAAUAAAAUAAUAUAGGAUGGAAGUUUUAUUUCUUUU
rnacentral:lncRNA from 12 species